GACGAACGCUGGCGGCGUGCCUAAUACAUGCAAGUCGAGCGCAGGAAACUGACGGAACUCUUCGGAGGGAAGGCAGUGGAAUGAGCGGCGGACGGGUGAGUAACACGUAAGGAACCUGCCUCAAGGAUUGGGAUAACUCCGAGAAAUCGGAGCUAAUACCGGAUAGUUCAUCGGACCGCAUGGUCCGUUGAUGAAAGGCGCUUCGGCGUCACCUUGAGAUGGCCUUGCGGUGCAUUAGCUAGUUGGUGGGGUAACGGCCCACCAAGGCGACGAUGCAUAGCCGACCUGAGAGGGUGAUCGGCCACACUGGGACUGAGACACGGCCCAGACUCCUACGGGAGGCAGCAGUAGGGAAUCUUCCACAAUGGACGAAAGUCUGAUGGAGCAACGCCGCGUGAGUGAUGAAGGUUUUCGGAUCGUAAAACUCUGUUGUAAGGGAAGAACACGUACGAGAGGAAAUGCUCGUACCUUGACGGUACCUUACGAGAAAGCCACGGCUAACUACGUGCCAGCAGCCGCGGUAACAC
rnacentral:rRNA from 1 species